rnacentral:rRNA from 1 species
ACUCAAAUGAAUUGACGGGGGGCCGCACAAGCGGUGGAGCGUGUGGUUUAAUUCGACGCUAAGCGAAGAACCUUAUCCAAGGCUUGACAUCCCGGUCAUAUCCCGCGGAAACGCGGGAGUCGGUCCGGCCGGACCGGUGACAGGUGUUGCAUGGUCGUCGUCAGCUCGUGUCGUGAGAUGUUGGGUUAAGUCCCGCAACGAGCGCAACCCUCGUCGCGUGUUGUACUUUUCACGCGAGACUGCCUCGGUUAACGAGGAGGAAGGCGAGGACGACGUCAGAUCCGCAUGACCCUUAUGCCUUGGGCUACACACGCGCUACAAUGGCCGGCACAAUGGGCCGCGAAGUCGCGAGACGGAGCUAAUCCCAUCAAAGCCGGUCUCAGUUCGGAUUGGAGGCUGCAACUCGCCUCCAUGAAGUCGGAAUCGCUAGUAAUCGCGGAUCAGCACGCCGCGGUGAAUACGUUCUCGGCCCUUGUACACACCGCCCGU